GUGUCAAGUGGGUCCCAUGCUGAGAAGCUUGGGCUCCGUAGAGGUGAUAUUAUCUGUUGUUUUGAGGGAGAGGAAGUUUCUACUACAGUCCAGUUGGAGAAAAUGAUGCUGGAUAUAUGCAAGAAUCGUUUUGUGGGAGGAA